rnacentral:lncRNA from 1 species
CAGGCUUGUUGCUGGGUAACGGGGCGGCGAGUUUCCCCUGGCAACGGCGGCGGGUACCGCUCACUGGCUGGCCGGGAAGGAGGGGGGGCGCGGGCGCAGGCAGGCCCCGCAGACCCCAGCAACAGCGCGCGGCCCCCGCCCCGCCGGGAAGCGGCUGCGAAAUCUGCUUGCCCAGAAUGGCAGACAAGAUCUUGGAGACGAGACGGUUUUAGGUCUGCAGUCAACCAGCUCUAUUUUGUCUCACCAGCACUUCACAUCCGGCUUACUACCUCCGGGCACUAUUCUAAGUAUGUUACAAAUACGAACUCAUUUUAUCUUCACAAUAUUUUUGGUCCUGCCUGUGCAGAUCCCUUUUGGACAGUGAGGGAAACUGAGGCACAGAGCGGAGAAGCUGCUUGCUCAAGGUCAUCAUUUGAACCCAUGUCGGAGUUAUCGUUCCUCUGUGCUGUGCGCCCGUGGGAGAGGCAUUAACACUCAAAAUACGAAACUGCACAGAGUCAAGAAAACGCACUCGUGGACGGCCUGCGGACCACUAGUUUGAGACCCCAGCCUCAACAUGAGCAUCUGUGCAAAUAGACACGAACUGUCCUCCUCCCAGAAGUAGACCUGGGCAUCCUGACCCCAUGAACACAGGGACUUGCUGUCUCUCCCCAAACUGGAUUCAGGCAUCAUGGCUUUUGAACACAGGGCUGAUGAUCCUUCCCAGAAGAGAAUGCAGGCAUCUUGGCCCCAUAAAAAUAGGGGUCCUGGGCCGGGCUCAGUAGCUCACGGCCUGUAAUCCCAGAACUUUGGGAGGCCUAGGCCGGUGGAUCACCUGGGGUCAGGAGUUCAAGACCAGCCUGGCCAACAUGGCUAAACCCUGUCUCUAUUAAAAAUACAAAAAUUAGCCGGGCGUGGUGGUGCACACCUGUAGUCCCAGCUACUCAGGAGGCUGAGGGAGGAGAAUCGCUUGAACCUGGGAGGCAUAGGUUGCAGUGAGCCAAGAUCGCA